GAAGUUGCUUAACCACCUGAGCCACCCAGGCGCCCCAGGUGCACAGCAUACUGAUUCAACAACUCCAUACACCCCCCAGUGCUCCCGACGCCAAGUACAGUCACCAUCUGUCACCAAACAGCACGAUUACAACAUUGUCGAUUAUACUCCCUAUGCUGUGCUUUUCGUCUCUGAGACUUACACUGUUCAUUUCUUUGAAAAGCACUGACGAAAGCGGGGCGCCCACACCCGGGUGGCUGGAGUGCGUGCCUCUUGGGCCUUCCUCUCGAGGCUUCUGGCUGAGCCUGGGCCCUCGGGUUCACUGGCCGCGUCGCCGUGAGAGGGACUCACAGCACCUUCCGGUCGGCACCGCAAAGUCCGGGACUAAGUGAGCCCGCGCCCGUGAAUGGACAAAACCGAGCACACGGGAGGCUUUCGGACAGAGCGGGCAUUGCUCAGGGCCCCUGCCACCACCCAGUGAACAAAACGAACUCCCAACCACUAGGCCAUACCCUCCCACAGGCUCCUUAGAGAGAGGCGGAAAACAAGACGAACAGAAGAAUGUCUGUGGAAGUGGACAGAAAGGAGGUUCUGGAAACUCACUAAUCGGCACCGGCCAGGCUGCCAGCCAGGCAACUCAGCCCCCUACCCAUCCAUCUAACCCAUCGUCCGCCUAUCAUCACGCGCCCACCUAGCCCUCAUGUCUCCACCACACUCGUGCCAAUCACCAGCCCACUCACCACCCAGCCUCCACGCAGCCUCCAGCAGAGAUUCGCCCGGACAUAUCUACCACGUGCCAGGCACUGUGCUUGGUGCUAGGGAUUAAUUUUCUUGGCUCCAGGAUAUUAAAGUCUGGGAGGUCUGCUGGCACCCGGGGCUCGCAGACUGAAGGUGUUCGGAGAGAGAAGGCAGAAGACGUGCCUGCGGGCAGAUGGUAAGAAAUAAGACGCACCCACAAAAGUUUUCCCAGCUGCACGGAGGACUCCAAGGAGGGCACGGCAUCCUGGCCUCUUCGUGAGAAGGGCGAAGGUGGGGGGAGGACGGAAAAGACAGGCGCCUGCCUAGGGUGACACAGGCGGCAGAGGGUUCCACAGAUAUCGCCUGCCCUCUGCCACCACUCUGAGAGCUCCUGAAUACGGCCCGAGACAUGCGGUUUCACAAAAGGCAACCGGGACGAGCCCCAACAACCCUCCUCCCCGUGGGAGAGCAGGACCAAAAUGCCAGGAUGGGGGUGAACAGGAAGCGGCACAGGCCAUUUUGAAACCAGGAAACUUGUUUCUGCUGAACCCAAGUCCUCCAGAGGGAAGGUGAGGAAGGCCAGGCCUCGUGGUUCUUAAACCUUACAGUCUCCAGGAUUUGUGUGUGGGGCUUAUUAAAUGGCACAUUCCUUACUACUCAGCCAUAAAAAAGAAUGAAAUCUUGCCAUUUGCAACAACAUGGAUGGAGCUGGAGAGUAUUAUG